rnacentral:rRNA from 1 species
UAGUCCACGCCGUAAACGAUGUCAACUUGCCGUUGGGGAACUUGGUUUCUUCAGUGGCGUAGCUAACGCGAUAAGUUGACCGCCUGGGGAGUACGACCGCAAGGUUAAAACUCAAAUGAAUUGACGGGGACCCGCACAAGCGGUGGAGCAUGUGGUUUAAUUCGAUGCAACGCGAAGAACCUUACCUACCCUUGACAUCCUUGGAACAGUCUGUAACGGAUUGGUGCCUUCGGGAACCAAGUGACAGGUGUUGCAUGGCUGUCGUCAGCUCGUGUCGUGAGAUGUUGGGUUAAGUCCCGUAACGAGCGCAACCCUUGUCCUUAGUUGCCAGCACAUUAUGGUGGGAACUCUAAGGAGACUGCCGGUGACAAGCCGGAGGAAGGUGGGGACGACGUCAAGUCAUCAUGGCCCUUACGACCUGGGCUACACACGUGCUACAAUGGAACGCACAGAGGGCUGCAAAGGCGCGAGCUGGAGCGAAUCCCACAAAACGUUUCGUAGUCCGGAUUGGAGUCUGCAACUCGA